rnacentral:rRNA from 1 species
UACGGGGGGGGCAAGCGUUGUUCGGAAUUACUGGGCGUAAAGGGCUCGUAGAUGGCCAACUAAGUCAGACGUGAAAUCCCUCGGCUUAACCGGGGAACUGCGUCUGAUACUGGAUGGCUUGAGAUUGGGAGAGGGAUGCGGAAUUCCAGGUGUAGCGGUGAAAUGCGUAGAUAUCUGGAGGAACACCGGUGGCGAAGGCGGCAUCCUGGACCAACACUGACACUGAGGAGCGAAAGCCAGGGGAGCAAACGGG